rnacentral:rRNA from 1 species
ACUCCUACGGGAGGCAGCAGUGGGGAAUAUUGCACAAUGGGCGCAAGCCUGAUGCAGCCAUGCCGCGUGUGUGAAGAAGGCCUUCGGGUUGUAAAGCACUUUCAGUUGUGAGGAAGGUGGUGUCGUUAAUAGCGGCAUCAUUUGACGUUAGCAACAGAAGAAGCACCGGCUAACUCCGUGCCAGCAGCCGCGGUAAUACGGAGGGGUGCGAGCGUUAAUCGGAAUUACUGGGCGUAAAGCGCAUGCAGGUGGUUUGUUAAGUCAGAUGUGAAAGCCCGGGGCUCAACCUCGGAACUGCAUUUGAAACUGGCAGACUAGAGUACUGUAGAGGGGGUAGAAUUUCAGGUGUAGCGGUGAAAUGCGUAGAGAUCUGAAGGAAUACCGGUGGCGAAGGCGGCCCCCUGGACAGAUACUGACACUCAGAUGCGAAAGCGUGGGGAGCAAACAGGAUUAGAU